AUAUGUAUACACACACAUAUACACAUAUAUAAUUACAUACACACACACACACACGUACACACACAUUUAUAGACCACGUACAUACCCACUAACCCUAGCUUUAUCUCAUCAUAACAUCCAAUUCGUUCAUGUUAUUCCCUGCUCAUCAUAAUAAAGGUAUAACUAAUGAUAUAAUUAUAUCUGUUCUUUCUUUUCUUUCA